CGGGACGGGUGAGUAAUGUCUGGGAAACUGCCUGAUGGAGGGGGAUAACUACUGGAAACGGUAGCUAAUACCGCAUAACGUCGCAAGACCAAAGAGGGGGACCUUCGGGCCUCUUGCCAUCGGAUGUGCCCAGAUGGGAUUAGCUAGUAGGUGGGGUAACGGCUCACUAGGCGACGAUCCCUAGCUGGUCUGAGAGGAUGCCAGCCACACUGGAACUGAGACACGGUCCAG
rnacentral:rRNA from 1 species